AAUCAUCCAGGAGAUCCUUGUUUCCUGGGGGUGCUAGAAGAAGAUGCACAGAAGUGGAGUGUCCUGGCGAAUAAAAGCAGUGCCCUGAAGAUGCCUUUGUAGUAAAGUGUCAGGAUCUGCUGUAGGAGAGUCUUAAGCCAGACUCUUCUGAUGACACAGUCCACCGUGAAUGAGUAGACCCUGCCUGAGAGAAUACCAGGCUGCUUUCCCCUUGAAUGCAACUUGUUCCUAUGUGAUAUAGAAAACUUAAUAAACAUUGCAGUAGAAAGAUCUCUUUGGAUUCUCCAAUGAAGGGGAGUUCUUACUGCAGAGAUCCACAUGAUAAGUCAUGAGCCCAGCUUUGCUGAAGAGCACCAGUCAACAGGCUCCAAGCACAUAGAUCUUCCAGAAAAAGAAGCACCAAGCAAUAACUUGAGGACAUGCUCUACUAGGAGCAUCUGGACUGCGUCAAGUGGCGCCCGAACAGGGACCUGAAGGAGAGGGAGAAGGUGAGGGCCACCACGAGGCCUAUAGAGAAGAGAAAACCCUGGCCAGUGUAACCAGAGAAGAUGCACAAGAGAAGAGGCGCACAAGCAAUGUGGAUGUGGUAAGUGAAUUUUUCUGGGAGUUCAAUAUGGGACAGGCGGGGAGCAAACAGUUAUAUGUUUGCGGGCUAAAGAGGUUGUUAGCCACCAGAAGAAUUAAAGUAGGGAUUGCCCAAUUAGAAAGAUUUUUAGAUAUUAUUGAGAAAGUGUGCCUUUAGUUUCUGGAAGAAUGGACAGUAGACAUAGAAUUGUGGAAUGGGGUAGGAAAGUGACUUCAAUCUUAUUAUUCUACCCAUGGCCCAAAAAAGGUUCUGGUGGACACAUUUGGCCUGUGGACCUUAAUUAGAGACUGUUACAUGACUUAAGGCAAAUUAAUGUGGUUCUUAAACCUAUGUGACCUUUACAACAAGGCCUCCCUUUUCUAGCUAUGAUUCCAAAAGACUGGAAGAUGGCUAUCAUUGACCUUAAAGAUUGCUUUUUUACCUUGCUCUCCAUUCAAAGCAGUCAUCUUAGGCCUGAGUUACUUCCUCCUGUGUAAUGUAAAAAGAGCCUGUAAUUAAGCUGAACCCUCAGAUCAACAUGUAAAUAGGUCUAUUCUAUUAACUGUUUUCAUUAGAGGCAGUCAUCCUGGAGCUAAGAAUUUCCUCCUCAGCAGCCCCAGGGAAGCCAAAGAAGCUUGUGACUCAGAUCAGGGCUCUAGUAGUGAAAAGUCACACAGUCCCUGCAUUUAUCAGUAAGGCAGGGGCCUCUUGAGGAAUGACUAAAGCUCAGGCAGAAAAAACUAGGAAAACUAAGUGAGAGCAGUUAGAUCCCUAAACUCUAAAAAGAAGUAUCUUAUCUUCUGCACACAAACCUGGCCCCAUUACAAACUCUCUGAUUAGAGAGGCUUGGCCCCUGAAAGAAGUAUGCAAUAUAGUGUUAUGCAGCUAAAUAUAUUUUGCCACAAGGGAAGAAAAUAGUCAAAAGUUCCAUGAACUACUACAAUAUGGAGCUAGUUUUCUAAAUUCUUUUUAGUGAAUGUCUAUUCUACUUAUUAAGUUCAUCAUUAUCUUCGAGAAUUGAGAAGUCUUAAACUAAACUCCCUGAGAUAGAAGAAAUUUAUCUUCUGCAAUACAGCCUGGCUUUAAAUGACUAGAGCUAGAAUUGUACUUGCAUUUCAUUUCCAGCACCCUGGACACACAGUCCCUAUUGGUUCAGAGCCUUCAUCUGCCCUGUUAGUCUAGGGCCAUCUAAACCUUAACCCGGUUAUGUAAACUUCUUGCUCUUAGAGUGUAUUCUUGAAAA